GUAGGGUGCGAGCGUUAAUCGGAAUUACUGGGCGUAAAGUGUGCGCAGGUGGCCGCGCAAGUCGAGUGUGAAAUCCCCGAGCUUAACUUGGGAAUUGCGCUCGAAACUACGUGGCUCGAGUGUGGCAGAGGAAGGUGGAAUUCCACGUGUAGCGGUGAAAUGCGUAGAGAUGUGGAGGAACACCGAUGGCGAAGGCAGCCUUCUGGGCCAACACUGACGCUCAUGCACGAAAGCGUGGGGAGCAAACAGGAUUAGAUACCCUGGUAGUCCACGCCCUAAACGAUGAUGACUAGUUGUUGGGGGAGUUAAAUCCCUUAGUAACGCAGMUAACGCGUGAAGUCAUCCGCCUGGGGAGUACGGUCGCAA
rnacentral:rRNA from 1 species